GCAACCCUCUUUCUUCAAAUUUCACCUUCCAUCCACAGAAAUGGUGCACCAAAACAGCCAAUCCGAAGGAGAAGAACCACAAGAUGGCCAAGAUGAAACCAGACGCCCCAGUGAAUCCAACAGACUGCAACCACCACAAGGGAAACAGAAUUGCCAGUUUAGUCACUAAAAAAUCGGAACCAAUAACUUCAAGGCAAGAACCUAGAAUGGGUUGGCUUGGUGGCGAAUGCUUGGAAUUUGGAUUGAGAGGAUCUCUAGUUUGAAUUCCACGUUCUUUCACCAGGAAAACACUCAUGUUGGGCUACCGACUGAAUAGUCUGUCUGAAUCAAUAGCUCUCUAGCUAGUCAAGUGUUCAGACCUGUGGUGCAUCCUUGAUUGGAUGAAUUAGGACUAAGUUUGGCAGCAAGAAUCAUGAUUGCUAGGAAAGUUAAGUUGAGUUGAGAUUAGUAGAAGAAAGUUGAGUUGGAGUUGAAGGGAUGUGGAAGGAAAACUUGGACAAACGAAUAUAAGGAUUCCAAGUGAAAUAGAGUUUCUCCAUCUACUCAAAAGAAAACUAAACUUUCCUAGGAAUCCUUUAUAUCCUCAUAUUAUCACAAUCCCUCCUAACCUCAACUCAACUUUUCCCACUAGUUUCAACUUAAUUUUCCUAGGAAUCAUAAUUCUUGUUGCCAAAUCAAACCUAGAUUUCCCUCGUCAUCUAAUAACUAGAAAGGAAAGAAGAAACUGAGAAUAGCUAGAGCUAUUUAGAUGUAAGGAGCCAAAAUUCUUGCAAUCAAGGUUUGGUUUGACAGGCGGAAAGUUAGAUGAAAUUUAGAUGGCAUGGUGAAAGUUCACUCUUCAAAAUCACUUCGUCGGGAUCUAAUUUUCUUGUUUGGCCACAGAAAUGUUCAAAAUUCUAUCCAACUUUCCACUUGCCAAACCAAGUCUAGAUUUAGCUACCACACUCCUAUUUCAAGUAAACCAACUAUAUAACCAUCGCUUUCUUCAGUUACCAAAUGGAAUCCGAGCCUAACAUAUCCUCAUCUAUAGAAGUACUUUCAAGUUAUUAUCAACCCAUUACUCUAGACUAGAGAAGCAAAAGGAGGCAAAAGAAUCUUUCAGUGCCCACUUGAUACCAAAAAUAUCAUUCAUCAACCCAUGGGAUGAACCUCAUUCAAAAAGGUAAAGUUAUUCCAAAAUCACAAAUGAAUCUUUAAAACAUAAAAAAAAGGGACUUACAGCCCAGUAAUGGCGAUUUGUGGAGUCCCAGCCCAGUAAUGGCGAUUGGUGAUGUCCCAACCUCCUCUAUAGUGCUUAAAUCCGUUGAGUAUGUCAGGCCGAUCAGUCCUCUCAGCUGCUAACAGAAGAAUACUCUUUGAACCAUCGUUAGACGGCCCAGGC
rnacentral:lncRNA from 1 species